rnacentral:rRNA from 1 species
CUGAACCAGCCAAGUAGCGUGAAGGAAGAAGGAUCUAUGGUUUGUAAACUUCUUUUAUAGGGGAAUAAAGUGGAGGACGUGUCCUUUUUUGUAUGUACCCUAUGAAUAAGCAUCGGCUAACUCCGUGCCAGCAGCCGCGGUAAUACGGAGGAUGCGAGCGUUAUCCGGAUUUAUUGGGUUUAAAGGGUGCGUAGGUGGUGAUUUAAGUCAGUUGUGAAAGUUUGCGG